rnacentral:rRNA from 1 species
UCAGAAGUACUGACCCUACGGGGGGCAGCAGUGGGGAAUAUUGCACAAUGGGCGCAAGCCUGAUGCAGCAACGCCGCGUGAGCGAAGAAGGCCUUCGGGUCGUAAAGCUCUGUCCUAUGGGAAGAAGAAGUGACGGUACCAUAGGAGGAAGCCCCGGCUAACUACGUGCCAGCAGCCGCGGUAAUACGUAGGGGGCAAGCGUUAUCCGGAAUCACUGGGCGUAAAGGGUGCGUAGGCGGCUAAGUAAGUCAGGGGUGAAAGGCA